AGUAACUGCGAGUGAAGCGGGAAAAGCUCAAAUUUAAAAUCUGGCAGUGUGUGACUGUCCGAGUUGUAACCUAGAGAAGUGUUGCCCGUGCUGGACCAUGUAUAAGUCUCCUGGAAUGGAGCGUCGCAGAGGGUGAGAAUCCCGUGUUUGACAUGGGUUGCCAGUACAGUGUGGUAUGCUCUCAAAGAGUUGAGUUGUUUGGGAAUGCAGCUCUAAAUGGGUGGUAAAUUCCAUCUAAAGCUAAAUAUUGGCGAGAGACCGAUAGCGAACAAGUACCGUGAGGGAAAGAUGAAAAGAACUUUGGAAAGAGAGUUAAACAGUACGUGAAAUUGUUGAAAGGGAAACGUUUGAAGUCAGUCGUGUUGAUCAGGGAUCAAUCUGGCUAUUUUGCUUGGUGUACUUCCUGGUUGACAGGUCAACAUCAGUUCUUGACCGCUGGAGAAAGGCAGAAGGAAUGUGGCACCUUUUCAAGGUGUGUUAUAGCCCUCGGUCAUAUGCAGCGGUUGGGACUGAGGAAUGCACCGGGCCCCACGGCCGGGUUUCGACCACGUUCGCCCUUAGGAUGUUGAC
rnacentral:rRNA from 1 species